UAUAUAUUAUUGUUAAUGCAUUUAAAUUUUUGAAAUUUAAGGAAAUAGAAAAAAUUUCUAUUAUAUAUAG
rnacentral:tRNA from 1 species